rnacentral:rRNA from 1 species
UGGGGAAUAUUGGACAAUGGGGGCAACCCUGAUCCAGCAAUGCCGCGUGUGUGAAGAAGGCCUGCGGGUUGUAAAGCACUUUCAGUAGAGACGAAAAGCCUAAGGUUAAUACCCUUGAGUCUUGACUUAACCUACAGAAGAAGCACCGGCUAACUCCGUGCCAGCAGCCGCGGUAACACGGAGGGUGCGAGCGUUAAUCGGAAUUACUGGGCGUAAAGCGCGCGUAGGCGGUUUGGUCAGUCGGAUGUGAAAGCCCCGGGCUUAACCUGGGAAUUGCAUUCGAUACUGCCUGACUAGAGUAUGGGAGAGGGAAGUGGAAUUUCCGGUGUAGCGGUGAAAUGCGUAGAUAUCGGAAGGAACACCAGUGGCGAAGGCGACUUCCUGGCCCAAUACUGACGCUGAGGUGCGAAAGCGUGGGGAGCAAACAGGAUUAGAUACCCCCGUAGUCC